GUACCAUAGAGCGAGGCGAGGAUGAAGCCGAGAGGAUACUGCAGCGGUCUCUGGUGCAUGUGUGUAUGUGUGCGUUUGUGUGUGUUUGUGUGUCUGUGUGUUCUGCCCCAGUGAGACUGCAGCCCUUGUAAAUACUUUGACACCUUUUGCAAGAAGGAAUCUAAACAAUUGCAACUGAAGGCACAUUGUUAUCAUCUCGUCUUUGGGUGAUGCUGUUCCUCACUGCAGAUGGAUAAUUUUCCUUUUAAUCAGGUUUGGGCAAUUAUGAAUAAAGCUGCUGUAUACAUCCAUGUGCAGGAUUUUGUGUGGACAUAAGUUUUCAACUCCUUUGGUUAAAUCCUAAGGAAUUUCAUAUGCAGAAUAAAUGGUAAUUAAAAUGUGCAGGAUGACAAGAUGGAGCAAACAGUGCUUGUACCACCAGGACCUGACAGCUUCAACUUCUUCACCAGAGAAUCUCUUGCGGCUAUUGAAAGACGCAUUGCAGAAGAAAAGGCAAAGAAUCCCAAACCAGACAAAAAAGAUGACGACGAAAAUGGCCCAAAGCCAAAUAGUGACUUGGAAGCUGGAAAGAACCUUCCAUUUAUUUAUGGAGACAUUCCUCCAGAGAUGGUGUCAGAGCCCCUGGAGGACCUGGACCCCUACUAUAUCAAUAAGAAAACGCAGUCUCGCUCUGUGGCCCAGACUGGAGUGCAGUGGUGCCAUCUCGGCUGACUGCAAGCCCCACCUCUCGGGUUCACGCCAUUCUCCUGCCUCAGUCUCCCCAGUAGCUGGGACUACAGGCGCCUGCCACCACGCCCGGCUAAUUUUUUGUAAUUUUAGUAGAGACGGGGUUUCACCAUGUUAGCCAGGAUGGUCUUGAUCUCCUGACCUCGUGAUCCACCGGCCUCGGCCUCCCAAAGUGCUAGGAUUACAGGCGUGAGC
rnacentral:sRNA from 1 species